rnacentral:rRNA from 1 species
CCUACGGGAGGCAGCAGUGAGGAAUAUUGGUCAAUGGACGAGAGUCUGAACCAGCCAAGUAGCGUGAAGGAUGACUGCCCUAUGGGUUGUAAACUUCUUUUAUAUGGGAAUAAAAUGUUCCACGUGUGGGAUUUUGUAUGUACCCUAUGAAUAAGGAUCGGCUAACUCCGUGCCAGCAGCCGCGGUAAUACGGAGGAUCCGAGCGUUAUCCGGAUUUAUUGGGUUUAAAGGGAGCGUAGGUGGAUUGUUAAGUCAGUUGUGAAAGUUUGCGGCUCAACCGUAAAAUUGCAGUUGAAACUGGCAGUCUUGAGUACAGUAGAGGUGAGCGGAAUUCGUGGUGUAGCGGUGAAAUGCUUAGAUAUCACGAAGAACUCCGAUUGCGAAGGCAGUUCACUGGACUGCAACUGACACUGAGGCUCGAAAGUGUGGGUAUCAAACAGGAUUAGAUACCCCUGUAGUC